rnacentral:rRNA from 1 species
AUUGAACGCUGGCGGCAGGCCUAACACAUGCAAGUCGAGCGGAUGAAGGGAGCUUGCUCCUGGAUUCAGCGGCGGACGGGUGAGUAAUGCCUAGGAAUCUGCCUGGUAGUGGGGGAUAACGUCCGGAAACGGGCGCUAAUACCGCAUACGUCCUGAGGGAGAAAGUGGGGAUUUUCGGACCUCACGCUAUCAGGUGAGCCUAGGUCGGAUUAGCUAGUUGGUGGGGUAAAGGCCUACCAAGGCGACGAUCCGUAACUGGUCUGAGAGGAUGAUCAGUCACACUGGAACUGAGACACGGUCCAGACUCCUACGGGAGGCAGCAGUGGGGAAUAUUGGACAAUGGGCGAAAGCCUGAUCCAGCCAUGCCGCGUGUGUGAAGAAGGUCUUCGGAUUGUAAAGCACUUUAAGUUGGGAGGAAGGGCAGUAAGUUAAUACCUUGCUGUUUUGACGUUACCAACAGAAUAAGCACCGGCUAACUUCGUG